rnacentral:rRNA from 1 species
AACGAACGCUGGCGGCAUGCCUAACACAUGCAAGUCGAACGAGCUCUUCGGGUCUAGUGGCGCACGGGUGCGUAACGCGUGGGAAUCUGACCUUUGGUUCGGAAUAACAGUUGGAAACGACUGCUAAUCCCGGAUGAUGACGAAAGUCCAAAGAUUUAUCGCCAGAGGAUGAGCCCGCGUAGGAUUAGCUAGUUGGUGUGGUAAAGGCGCACCAAGGCGACGAUCCUUAGCUGGUCUGAGAGGAUGAUCAGCCACACUGGGACUGAGACACGGCCCAGACUCCUACGGGAGGCAGCAGUGGGGAAUAUUGGACAAUGGGCGAAAUCCUGAUCCAGCAAUGCCGCUUGAGUGAUGAAGGCCUUAGGGUUGUAAAGCUCUUUUACCCGGGAUGAUAAUGACAGUACCGGGAGAAUAAGCUCCGGCUAACUCCGUGCCAGCCGCCGCGGUAA